UCAAUCUUUAGUCUGCUGGUUUCGUGCUGUUGCUUGUCUUGUUGCUCUGCCAAGUGUGUUGAGUUGACCGUGAACACGUGUAGAAAACUAGAAAUUACUGGAAAUAAAAAAAAAAAUAGUUCAAACAGAAAGUUUAUUUUGGCUUCUAUUGCACAUUACACAUCUUGUGCUCACUUACACAUUCAAUUAUCGGGAAUAAUCUUAACUACAUAAGUUAGAUGGGAUUUGUGUGCUGUCUUCAAUAUUGAUGUUUUUUCUUCAAUAGUGUGGUAUCACAAAAGGAGACAUGACUUCUCUUGUCGAAGAUGUUUCCCGAAUUCGUCAAGUUCUAGAAGCGAACUCUAUCUCCAACGAAGACGUUGACGAAGAUGUAUUGAUCGCUUUACUAGAUAUGCACGCAUCAGACAAACAACGUGUUGACCUGGUUUUGUUGGAAUUGCAAAAUUUGCUCGGGAAAGAUUUGAUUGUUGGACAUCUAGGCGAAGCACAACGAGAAAGAUGGAAAGAACUGCAAGCCCCUAUCGAUACCCAGGAUGAAGUAUUGAUUGUUAACGAGAUCUCUCAGCAGGCUAGAAUUCCCGACGUGAUCGAAGUGGUCGAUCUUAACGAGCCAUCUACUUCUGGACAAUCUACUGUCUACUCUGCGCAAUUGUCUUCCAGUAAACGGAAACUUUCCAGCGAUUCCACAGAAAGCAACAUUCCAAAGAAACAAGCAUCUGCAACAAAUCUUAUUGACAGAGAAGCCAAAAAUCAUAAGUCUGAUUGUGACAUGCAACCAUCUCGUUGUCGUUGUCCUUUCGUCUCAUGGAUUUGGGCUCAAUUACCCGACGCGGUCAAAUCUGUUCGUAGUGGUAAAUGGAUGCUCUUCAUCAGCAAGCAAUACGUUGAUCAAACUUGGGAAAAAGUCAAGAAUCUUCUUGCGAGCAAUCAACUUGGCAAUGGAGCAAAAGUCGCCAACGGUGAAGCCAAAACCUAUUUGAUUUGUUUGUACACUUACGAUUUUGAAGAUGUCCGAGAUGUUUUUCGAGUGCUAGUCGCAUUGAAACGUAACCGCUUAGCAGGUGGGCACCUGAACUACAAGACGGACGAUGCGACGUAUCAAGGAUUGUACACAACUGACCAGGCGGCCAAGGCUGCAGGCUUUCAAUCGGCUAAGAAGAAUCACCCUAAUGAAAAAGUGUCGAUGUACACGUCUCCGCCCCCACUAACUAACAAUCCGGGAGGGGACAAAGAUUUCGUUCAACUCUUCUUGAAUAAUAUUGGACCUGAUUGCAGAAAGGGGCUUGUAGCGGAAUUGCGGAAAAAUAGUGAUGACGCUGAGUCGAAGGAAAUCUUUUACCAUCCACCCCAAUUAGUGCCUACCUCUCUUACCAAGCGCAGUAGCAAGAAGUCCACUAGUAAAUAAUUAAUGCGGCUCUUGAUUUACGAAAAUAGUCUGAUAUUUUUCAAAACUUAAAUUUGUAGUUUGUUUAGAUAAUAACACGUUCUCAACAUUUUUAAUCUAGAAUAAACCCUUUCGUUUAAAAUUUGGAUUUGGAUUGAACAAUUUCUCAGGUUAAAUUUAUUACUUUUAAAUGGUUUAAUAAGGUUUUCAUUUUCCACUAAGGUUCUGCUGCUUCUGGAAUUAAAGUUAAGAAAAUUGUUCACAUGAUUUAUCGUUCGUUGCCAGGUUUAAAAUUAAACAUUUUCAUGUAAUUGGAGUCUGACUUAACAGUAUAUCAACGAGAUUUGGGGGGAUAAUCAACUAAAUCAGAUAAUAAAUUCUUGUUCCAAACAUUAUGCGAUUUAUGCCCCUAUUGCUUCUUCCCUUAAAUGGAUUAGUAGUUUAAUGAC
rnacentral:misc_RNA from 1 species